rnacentral:lncRNA from 1 species
CUAAUUUUUUAUAUCAACCAAGACCUCAGAUAAAAAGUACAAUUAAUUAAAAUAAUUAAUACGGACAAUUAUGACUACUGAACAUAUAUGGAUAUAUAUUUUAGUUUUGAGGCAGAAAAUCCGGAGUUUUGCCUGCGGAAGAAAUGCGCGAUCGGUCGGAAAAGAAUGCAAAUGGAUCGACAAUUUCUGAGUUAUGACCGACGGAAGACUCCGCAUAUUAAACUGCAAGGCUGGAUUGCUCGGCAAAUACUAUUGACUGACGUCAGGGUUAUAAGCAAGGUGAGGCAAGACGCUGAUAUUUUUCUUUUUUCUGAUUUGCGUCUGCUUUUUGCAGUUUUAUUUAUCCACUUGGCAUUUCGGCCAAGCUCGAUUAGUCGGCGAAGUUGUAGACAGAGAAAUUCGAGUUAUAAGCAGAUAGAGGCAAGGUGUCUCUUUCCAUUCUGCCUCUUUUUUGUUUUAUUUGGGUUUAUCUAAACUAGCUAUUUAUUUUUUAACUACAAGAAGAUGAGUAUAACUCGGAAAUUAUGUAUAAACAGCAUAGCCAACUGAAACAAAAAACUUUCGUUUUGCGAAAUCCGGCCUUUUUGAAAUUCCUCAAUAGGCUGGAAAAGACCAAACCUAUAUGCAAGACGUCAAGCCUCUAAGAAGGGAGAGGCAAGGCGCUUACUUUCCAACCACCCUACUUUUUGAUCACACAUAUGGUUUAUUUGGGAUCAUCUAAAUUGGCUAAUUUUUUAACUUUAAGCUGAUUAGUAUACAUAUUACCUUAGAUUUUUAAAGUUGUAAAAUAAUUUUGAAAAAGAGAAAUUACAGAAAUGUUUUUUUUUAAUUUUUACAUUUAAUAGAAUAAAAAAACCAAUUGGUUGACAAUUAAGUCAUUUAGUACUUUCUUGGAUUAAUAAUCCUGAUGUUUACUUGUCACAUUCCAAGAGUCUAAAAAUAAUUUAUUGAUAAUGGACAAUAUUUUGGUUUUGAAACAAAAUAUCCUGAUUUUCCAAUCGUCAUGCCCCCUUUUCGGAAAAAUAGGCCCGAUUGGCUGGAAAGAUCGUACACGGAUGACACGAAGUCAGGGUUAUAAGCAGGGAGAGACGAAGCAAAGACUCUUUUCAUUCUUACUCAUUUUUUGUCACCUGGUUUAGCAUAAGUUUAUCCAGUCGGGGUAGUUAUCAUUACAACUCCAAUAGUAAAAUGCCGGGUGAUUGCAGCCCUGCGAACUAAACCUGGUUAGGUAAAUUAUUAGCUAGAAUUUUUAAAGAGGGACAGCUAAUUUUAAAAAAGGCUGAUUAUCUACAUAUUGUAGUUUUUACAUCUACCAUACAUAGAUAAUCAUUUUUACAUUUACCAUGUUUUAAAUGCGCGGUAGGUAGGUGGGGGCAUUAGGCAAAUGCACUACGUCAAGGUCAUAAGCAGGGAGAGGCGUCCCGAUUCUUAUGCGAGUUUUGUAGAAAGAAUAUUUUGCCAUUUGUCUAAACAAACUAACGUAAAACAUCUACCAACGAAAAUGAACAAUUUUCCAAUUGUUAUAUUCGUAGUCCUCUUCGGGGGAAAAAAUUUCCACUCUCAUUCUAAAUGAUCCCUUAUGAAUUUUAUAUCAUAUGUUUAUCCAAACGGAUUAACAUAUGCGGACGCGCAUGCACAAAAUGUGUGAAUGUAUACUGCCGUCCCAUGGUAGACGUUUUUUUAAAUGCGCUACGUCGAGGCCAUAAGCAGGGAGAGGCGCCUCGAUUCUAACGCGCAUUAUGUUGUCUGAUCCAGAAAGAAUAUUUUGCCAUUAAAGCUGUAUAAAAUAUCGAGCUGAAAUAAAAAGUUCAUUUAAAAAGCUUUUCAGUUAGCUGUUCAAGUGCCCAGUGUUUACGGUUGGUAAGACUUUUCCAAAAUAUCUGUCUUUUGGGUUUCGAGCUUAAAAUAAUUAUGGCGUUAUAUUGGUCAGGUUUACUAAGUUUUUUU